CUUGUACUCCCUCCGUCCGGAAAUACUUGCCAUUGAAAUGGAUGUAUCUAGAUGUAUUUUAGUUCUAGACACAUCCAUUUUGAUGACAAGUAAUUUCGGACGGAGGGAUUACUUG
rfam:Triticum aestivum genome assembly, contig: Triticum_aestivum_CS42_TGACv1_scaffold_220772_3B